GUGCCGAAGUUAAGGCUUGAAGCCGCCUCCAAAGCACUUCAUCCUCUCUUCCCUCGUCCUCCCUCUCUUCUCUUACCUGCCAAUAGAAUCACCUUAUAACGAGUAAACAGAACAAGGAAGAGUGAGGCAAGCGAAGAGGGGAAGUGGAAGCGUACAAGGCAAUGGUGGGCGCCUUGUCAUCGUCCUCCUCCUCGUGCGCCUCCUUCGGCUCCUUCGAGGAGGACGUACCCGCCGCCGCCAAGCCCUCCCCCGGCGCCGCUUCCGUCAAGUUCCUCUGCAGCUACGGCGGCAGGAUCCUCCCCCGCUACCCCGAUGGCAAGCUCCGCUAUGUCGGCGGCGACACCCGCGUUCUCUCCGUCGACCGAUCUGUCCCCUUCUCAGAGUUGCGGGAGAAGAUGAGGGAGCUGUGCGGGUGGGGCGCGGUGAGCGUCCGGUGCCAGCUGCCGACGGAGGACCUCGACGCCCUCGUCUCCGUCAAGUCCGACGAGGACCUCACCAACGUGGUGGAGGAGUACGAUCUCGCCGGGCGCGAGAAGAUCCGGGCCUUUCUGUUCCCCCCCUCCAACAAAGGCGGCGGCGAGAGCCCUACCCAUCGGGCCACGCCGAUCUCGGUGGCGGUGCCCGCUGAGCGCUGCGUCCACCAGAUCUCCGCGCCGGCGAGGCCCGCCGGCCGGUUCGAGAAGCCCCCCGCCGCCGGGGAUCUUCGCCACCACGGACACCACCACCACCUCCACGGCCGUCAUGCGGCCCCCAGGCCGUGCAACUACCUCGUGCACCACGGAAGCCACUGGCAAUGAUACAAUCACCACCACCACCAUCGCCAGUGUUUUUGGGCGAAGAACUCGAGGUUACUUUACGGCGGAGGGAACCCUUUUCUUCAGGGGACCGAAUAAUUUUUUAUCAGGAAAUACAAAGAAAAUCUAAUUAUUAUUAUUUUAUGAAGAUAAAAAUAUACAAAUUCUUCAUAUUUUAUUUUUUUUCUACAACAUUCUUACCCAAUUGGGCCUCUUUUUUUUUGUGUUCAUCCUAAGUUAAGUUGAUGAAACCAAUAUUUUUGGAUAUAUAUAUAUAUAUAUAUAUAUAUAUAUAUACAUAUAUAAUUUUUUCGAUAGUUUUCAUUAUUUUUACAAGCUUUGAUGUGGUUUAAAACUCUUUUUUCAUAGUUUUAGCUGGAAAAUCUUUUGCAACUUUUUGUUCUUUCUAGUUCAUGAUUGCUAGUGAAUGAGCAGAGAUCCCUUGACCAGUGUGCCAAGUUCUCAUCUUUUUUGGCCUUUUCCACUCCUUACAAGGUGGGAAGAGAUGGUGAGAUGUGAUAUGGACUUUUAGUUCCGAUUGAGGCCAAGCCUGCCUAAGCUUAGAUAUGUGAAAUCAACUCUUGUGCUGCUAAAUGACUUAAACCUCCAACUCAAGUUUGAUCCGACCUUUAAUUCUCCUCAAAUUUUUGUCCCCUUCCUACUUUUUAGAGCUGUAGAAUGAUGAACUCUUGCUUCCCCCAUUUCUUGUGAAUCACUUCAAGAGUUCCUCAUCUUUCUAGACACUGUGAAACAUGGAGAGGAGAGAAAUGCUCAAAAAAGUGCCCCAUUCAUCACUCAUCACUCCUUUCUUUUUUCGUUGAUCUAUUUGCAUAUAGCUUCUCAAAUGGACUCUUACAAUUUUUUUUUCAGAUAUUUUAUAAAAUUCAAGUAUUUGGCAAUACUGCAGUAAGCAGUUUCUCUAAGAAAUCAAGCAUUUCUUUUAGGAGAACAAGUUAUUUCUCUACCAUUUUGAGAAGUAGGUCUCUGUAUUGGUAUUUUUGCAUAUUAUUAUUAUAUCUAUAAUAAAUUUUAAUGAACUUUCCAAAGUGUUUCCCUCGGAUGACCAAUUUGUAACUACAAAAUGAGUUUUUAUGAGACCCAAAAAAAUGUAAAUUGGAAUAUAUAUGUCUUGACCUUCUUAGAAUUUUUGUUUUUGUGAUUGUUCUUUUUGGCAUUUCAAAUUUUAGUCUAUCUUUGUUUCAAGUUUUUGUUUUUUCAAUAAUGCUUUAAAUGAUGAUGAUAUUUUGGGUUAGUGAGUGAGUUGAAUUGGUCAGACUAUCAUAUAUGAUGGUUGGAUACAAAUGCCACUCAAGAUAUUAGUUGAAGCUAAUACAUGACAAUCUUACUCUUUUUUGUCCUUGACAAAACAAGAUUAAUCUCUAACCUCUUUUUUUUUUCUCUCUCUGGUACAUCAGAACAAUUUCCAAUAUUUUUACACAUCAAUAUCUAAUUGUUCUUUCUCUUCCCAUGAGCUGCACAUAUUUUUAUGGUAUCAUAAACACAUUUCAUAAUGACUCUUUCAAGUUUUCUGAAGCUUUCAUCUCAAUUUCCCAUUCUAAAAGCAAUUUUAGACAGUCUUUUGAUUUAUUAUUUUUUUCAUCUGAUUUUUUAGUUGUCACCAUUAGUAUCCUCUUUGUUUUUUAUGAUUGUCAAUAUAAGAGGAGAAAUCUAAGAGACACUAAUUUAAUUUAUUCAUCACUAUUCUUCUGAUUUUUCAAAUCUAAUCUCACCUACUUCAAGAUUUGUUAACUAUCAACCUUUAGAAAUAAUGUGUAUAAAUAGGCAUAUGUAAUAUGCAUUGGUAUGUCUGCAAGCUUAAGAGAAAUAAAUAGGAACAUGCAUGCAAAUGAAUCAAAGUGUCUUGAUCAAAUGCAUGGUGGAAAGAUUACAUUCCCUUAGGAUCAAACAUCAUAUGCUCAAAAUAGGCAAAUGUUUAUCCACUAUGUUUGAAUCAUGAAAUCACCCUCUUUUAGGCAUUGGAUUCCUUUUCUAAUAUUUUUUUGUUUUUACAAUUAUUAAGGGAAUCCUAUCAUCAUCUUCUAUUCUUAUGAUAUCUGCUAUCCAUAAUCCUUUGUAGAAAGUUGAUAUUGGAUUCACUAUAUAUUGUGUAUCAUAUUUAUUAAAGCAAAAUCAAAGUGAUCUCGAGAGAAAAAAGAAACUAAAUUUUGAUAGGAGAGGACAAACUAAAUUUAAUACUAAGAUAUUACUUGUUACCUUGGGUGGGUGAAUUCAAUCAGAUAAAAGAACAUCUAAGAUAAGAUAGCAUUCAUUAACGUCUCAAGCUCUCCAACUAUCGCAUUGGUAGAAGCCUCGAUUCAUAAUACUGUAUAAAUGAUGACAAAAAGGAUAUUCAUAGUAUGUUGUACGAAUGAUGACAAAGAGGAUAAGGGUUUAGACUCUAUUGAAAAGGAUAAUGGAGGAGAAAUUAUGGUGAAGAUGGGGAAUGAAAUCUUUAUUCUUCUAA